ensembl:lncRNA
GGCGAAUGCUCACAUAGGGCUUUAGGGUUCCUGAGUGGAGGGAUACAAUCGUUGCUCAGGUCGGGAACCAGGCAGGAGGAAUUGUUCAGCAUGGUUUGGGGCCGACACUCAGCCUGGGGAAGUGCUGCAUGCAGAACGUGAUCCAUCACAGCUCCUGCUGAAUCCCCCCAAGGGGAAAUGUGGAGCACUCUGUCCAAGCUGGUGGGGUUGUGAUACACUGGGAAGGAGCAGACUCGUGUCUUCCAGGAGCUGGAAGUCUUCCUCCAACACAGGCAGCCCAGGAUGAAUGGGCGCUGGGAGGGGCGGCCUUUGGGCACAGGGGAGGUAGGGGCGGUGCCAAGGCUGUGUGAGCAGCCCCAUUUGCACAGGGAAGGAGCAUCCCUGGGUGUACGUUUUCCUGGGAAGGGCACCAGGCGCAGGCAGCGGGGAGCAUUCAGCAGGGGAUGGCCACACAGCACAGGGUCACAUCUCCUGAGUUCUUCACCCUCUGCUCUCGUCUUUCCCCCCUCCAUCUCCCUGUGCUCUGCAACUUCCUGGCCAUCCUCCCCCACCAUUUCCCAUUACUUCCUCUCCCUCCCCUUCCUGCCCCUUCCCAGCCC